UUUUAGCCCCGAUAGAAGCAAAAAUCCUUGUGAGCCGGGGUUCGGCUCACAAGAUUAUAGCGGAUAGCGGAACAAUAC
rnacentral:sRNA from 1 species